rnacentral:rRNA from 1 species
CUCAAAUUUAAAAUCUGGCAGUCUUUGAUUGUCCGAGUUGUAAUUUAGAGAAGUGUUACCCGCGUUGGACCGUGUACAAGUUUCCUGGAAUGGAACGUCAUAGAGGGUGAGAAUCCCGUCUUUGACACGGAUCCCAAUUCAUUGUGGUACACUUUCGAAGAGUCGAGUUGUUUGGGAAUGCAGCUCUAAAUGGGUGGUAAAUUCCAUCUAAAGCUAAAUAUUGGGGAGAGACCGAUAGCGAACAAGUACCGUGAGGGAAAGAUGAAAAGAACUUUGGAAAGAGAGUUAAACAGUACGUGAAAUUGCUAAAAGGGAAACGCUUGAAGUCAGUCGCGUUGUCCGGGGAUCAGCCUUCCUUCUGGUUGGUGUACUUCCCGGUUGAUGGGUCAGCAUCAGUUUUGACCAGUGGAUAAAAGUGAGAGGAAUGUGGCAUCUUCGGGUGUGUUAUAGCCUCUUGUUGUAUACAUUGGUUGGGACUGAGGAAUUCAGCACGCCGCAAGGCCGGGUUUUUAACCACGUUCGUGCUUAGGAUGCUGGCAUAAUGGCUUUAAUCGAC